rnacentral:rRNA from 1 species
CCCAGUUCGUAAGAACAGGGUAUGACGGAGCGGCGAACGGGUGAGUAACACGUGAGCAACCUGCCCCACAGACCGGGAUAGCCCAAGGAAACUUGGAUUAAUACCGGAUUCCCUCGAACAAUCGCAUGGUUGAUCGAGGAAAGGCCUUUGUGCUGUGGGAUGGGCUCGCGGCUUAUCAGCUAGUUGGUGGGGUAAAGGCCUACCAAGGCAUCGACGAGUAGCUGGUCUGAGAGGACGAUCAGCCACACUGGAACUGAGACACGGUCCAGACUCCUACGGGAGGCAGCAGCAGGGAAUCUUGCGCAAUGGGUGAAAGCCUGACGCAGCAACGCCGCGUGGGGGAUGAAGGCCUUCGGGUUGUAAACCCCUUUCAGGAGGGAAGAAAUUGACGGUACCUCCAGAAGAAGGACCGGCCAGCUACGUGCCAGCAGCCGCGGUAAUACGUAGGGUCCUAGCGUUAUCCGGAAUCAUUGGGCGUAAAGAGCUCGUAGGCGGUUCAGCAAGUCGGCUGUGAAAGUCCGAGGCUUAACCUCGGAAUUGCAGUCGAUACUGCUGUGACUCGAGUCCGGUAGAGGAGAAUGGAAUUCUCGGUGUAGCGGUGAAAUGCGCAGAUAUCGAGAGGAACACCAGUAGCGAAGGCGGUUCUCUGGGCCGGCACUGACGCUGAGGAGCGAAAGCGUGGGGAGCAAACAGGAUUAGAUACCCUGGUAGUCCACGCCGUAAACGUUGGAUACUAGGUGUGGCGGUUGUACCAACGACUGCCGUGCCGAAGCUAACGCAUUAAGUAUCCCGCCUGGGGAGUACGGCCGCAAGGCUAAAACUCAAAGGAAUUGACGGGUCCCCGCACAAGCGGCGGAGCAUGCGGCUUAAUUCGAUGCAACCCGAAGAACCUUACCUGGGUUUGACAUCACGGGAAAAACUGUAGAAAUACAGUGUCCGUAAGGGCCCGUGACAGGUGGUGCAUGGCUGUCGUCAGCUCGUGUCGUGAGAUGUUGGGUUAAGUCCCGCAACGAGCGCAACCCUUGUCCUAUGUUGCCAGCGGUUCGGCCGGGGACUCAUAGGAGACUGCCGGGGAUAACUCGGAGGAAGGUGAGGACGACGUCAAGUUAUCAUGCCCCUUAUAUCCAGGGCUGCACGCAUGCUACAAUGGCCGGUACAACGGGCAGCGACCCCGCGAGGGUG